GAUGAACGCUAGCGGCAGGCUUAAUACAUGCAAGUCGUGGGGCAGCAUGAAUGUAGCAAUACAUUUGAUGGCGACCGGCAAACGGGUGCGGAACACGUACACAACCUUCCUAUAAGUGGGGAAUAGCCCAGAGAAAUUUGGAUUAAUACCCCGUAACAUAACGAUGUGGCAUCACAUUGUUAUUAUAGCUUCGGCGCUUAUUGAUGGGUGUGCGGCUGAUUAGAUAGUUGGCGGGGUAACGGCCCACCAAGUCUACGAUCAGUAGCUGAUGUGAGAGCAGGAUCAGCCACACGGGAACUGAGACACGGGCCCGACUCCUACAGGAGGCAGCAGUAAGGAAUAUUGGUCAAUGGACGCAAGUCUGAACCAGCCAUGCCGCGUGAAGGAUUAAGGUCCUCUGGAUUGUAAACUUCUUUUAUCUGGGACGAAAAAAGGCUUUUCUAAGUCACUUGACGGUACCAGAUGAAUAAGCACCGGCUAACUCCGUGCCAGCAGCCGCCGUAAUAC
rnacentral:rRNA from 1 species